UACGGAGGGGGCUAGCGUUGUUCGGAAUUACUGGGCGUAAAGCGUACGUAGGCGGCUCGGCAAGUCAGAGGUGAAAGCCCGGGGCUCAACCCCGGAAUUGCCUUUGAGACUGCGUCGCUAGAAUCCGGGAGAGGUGAGUGGAAUUCCGAGUGUAGAGGUGAAAUUCGUGGAUAUUCGGAAGAACACCAGUGGCGAAGGCGGCUCACUGGACCGGCAUUGACGCUGAGGUGCGAAAGCGUGGGGAGCAAACAGG
rnacentral:rRNA from 1 species